GUACCAUAACGGACACCACAGACCGUGCGGCUUAAACAACAGCAUCUUAUUUGCUUUUUUGUGGAGACUGGAAGCCUGGGAUCAAGGUGUCCAGAAUGGGCAAAUCCAGAGAAACGGAAGUCGGCUGGCGAUUGCCAGGGGCUGGUGGAAGGAAGGAGCAGGUGCUGACUCUUAAUGGGUUCAAGGUUUCUUCGGCCCGUGGUGAAAAAGUCCCGGAAUUACAUACUAGUGGUUGAUGUACAGCUUUGAGAAUAUGCUAAAAAGACUGAAUUGUAUCCUUUAAUAUUGGGGCUUUUAUGGUUUGUAAAUUCCUUUCAAUUUCAAAAGGAACUCAAGAACUUC